AAUAAAAAUGUGGUUAGUAACCAUUAUGCAGGGAACUGCACCAAAACAAGGGGCAUGGGACACAGCUUUUGGUGUCAGCUGAUUACAGGUGAACAAGGGUAACUCUGGGUGUUAAAAGUGUUUUUACUGGAUGAGAAGGGAAUUUCUUCUUUUCAAAUGGACAGAUACCGAGCUAACGUGUUCCUGGUUGCGUUUGGCUCUCUCAAUCUCAGGAGUGACAGG